rnacentral:lncRNA from 1 species
GCCAUGUUGUAAUUCAUUCUCUGCAACUAUACCCUAUCUGUACCUCCAGCAUUAUGACAACUGUACUUUUGUGAGCUCAUAGUCACAUUUUGAUAAACAAUAUAAACUACAUGCCUUUUCCUUAUAUCCAUCUACACAUUUUCUUGGGAAUCUGAUUCUUAUUUAAGAGCUUUAAGAGGUAAAUACUGGGCCAGACACAUAAGUCCUAUGCAUUGACACUUUGCACAAUGCCUUGCAACCACUCAACAACAGGUGUUCUAUUUCAAAAAUCGAUGACUGGCCUAAGAAACCGAUUCUAAUUUGACUUGCACUCAACACUCGAAUGCCUGGCGAUCAUCUUGGCACAUGAGCACGUGACUGACACUCUAAGCAUUUGAGGUUGCAUUUUUGCCUCCAUAAGGUAAGUCUAGAGUGAGACUGAGCAAAACUUUGAACAGAGAAGCUAUCUGAGAUUGCUGCACACCUUAGGUAUCCAAUGCAUAUUUACUGGAAGAACAUUUACUUUAGGUAUUUUGAUUUUAUACAGACUUCUUGACUCA